ACAGGCUGCGUCGCGGAGGACAAUGAAAGAGGCUUUAAGGGAACUGGACAGGAAGGAUUUUGCGCAGGGUGUGCUCCUUAUCUUUAUGGUAAUCUGAUAUUGAAAAGAGUGUCCGCAUGUUUGCGGUGGAUUGAGUGUUCACCUGGCUGCGCUGCCCACCUGAAAUGCAGCCUGUGGAGUGAAGAGUCGGCAAUUUGGAAGCCCACCUUUCCUCCUUUCUGGUGGGCAUUUUUUUAGAUGCCAGGGGGAGAGCUUUCCCGCCUGACUCCCCGAGCCUAGGGGCUUUCCCAUGUCUUAACCCCACAUCACAAAAUUAAAUUUGGGCCAGGUGCGCGGUGGCUCACGCCGGUAAUCCCAGCGCUUUGGGAGGCCGAGGCUGGCGGAUCGCUUGAGCUCAGCAGUUCGAGACCAGCUUGAGCGACGUAUUAAGAUCUCGUUUCUACAAAAAAUAAAAUUAACCGGCCGUGGUGGCGCGCACCUGCGGUCCCAGCUCCUCGGGAAGAUGAGGUGGGAGAAUCGCUUGAACCCGGGAGGCGGAGGUUGCAGUGAGCCGAGAUCGUUCCACUGCACUCCAGCCUGGGCGACAGAGCGAGACCCUGUCUCAAACAACAACAAAAACUUUAUCAUUAUUUACUUAAAAGGCCUCCGCGUUGUGGUUAGAUAGUGACGUGUGUGCCAUCCUCCACUUUUUCCCCCGGCGGGUUGUUAAAUGUUUUGUUUUACCUCGGAGGUAUUUUGACUUUUUCAAAGUCACUGAUUAUUUAACCUCCUAGUUUCUCUUCUCGUCGACUGCAGCAAGCUUCCGGUUGCUCUGCCUGCCCUCAGUGUCCCCCAUCUACCAGCUGACCUUCCAGUCCUCCCACCCACGCCCUUGUCCUGCUUGCGGCUCCCGCAGGACUAAGCUCUGCUCCCCGCGCGCGGCUCACCCAGGUCCCAGUCGCUUUCAGCCGCGCGCUCACACGUUUUCCUGUCGCCUGCCCCCGUUCUGUUCGCGCGUGCUGCGCUCUCCAGCCACCCUGACGCCUGCCCGGGAUGAGUUUCCUCCCCACUUUGCCGCGGCCCCGCCGACCGACCGCUUCACUGCCGCCUUCCUGCAUUCUCGCAGACUACGUUGCGGCGUCCCCUGCUCCCGCCCUGAGGACGUCGCUUUUCUGGCACUUUCAUCCUAUGCAUUCUGUUGAGUCUGCUCACUGUCUCACACUGUGAGGAUUGGGACAGUGUCUUAUCACUUUCAUAACAGCGUCUGGCACUUGCUGAAGGAACACAUGAAUGGCGGUCUUGUCGCUGUCAAAGUCUUUGGAGUUUUUCAGUGUACUGUUUUUGAUAUGGGGUUUGGGAAUUUAGGUGGCUUUACUGUAUUUGGGAUAUUUGAGGGGAAAAUGAGCUAGAGGCGUUAAAAUGCUUUCUUCUGAUGGAACAACAAAAUUCUUAUGAAGGACCUUUCCCUGUCAAAAUCAGAGCAAAUAGUAAAGGAUAUAUACUAUUUGGAUAUAAAGAAUGAUUAUAAAGGAUGAUUGUUAAGAGAAAUAGUGAAAAUUAGUGUGGAAAGCUAUAACCAGAUCAACAUUUAUGAGCCAUCCAACAGAAUAAGGGUGUAGCUUUUUUAUGUAUACAAUCUCUAGGAUUCACUCUAGAGAGUGUAACUCCUGAUAUGGACUCCUGGUGCAACAUGCUUCUGUGUAUGUUUUAUAUUUUAAAAAAUCUAUAUAUAUUUAAAAUCUAAAUAUAUUUUUAAAAAUCUCAGUUUUGUUUUAGGAAAGUGUUUUUUCUCAAAAUUUAAGCCCAAAUGAUAAAAUCUGCCAAAUAGAAAACUAUUUUAAAUUGAUAAUAACAGUAUAGUUUCAUCAAAACUAAAAAUACCAGAUCUUUUGAUGUAUUUGUUUCCUAGCAGAGAAUUAAGUUUUCACGUUCUUACUGUUGGCCUCCUAGAUAUCAUGUGAGCAUGUCUUAAGGAAAAAUGCUCUUAAUGCCACUGUGGUUUCUACCUUCAUGUGCAAAUAGAAGAGAGUGGUGGUUUGUAAUAGGCCAUUCUUUCCAGAGAAAAGUUCAUGUGUAUUUCUGUAUAUGCAGCAUCCUCCUUAUUAUGUUUGGAUGUAAAGAUUUAUUAUUCUCUCUGAUGUUUUCAUAUUUUUUAAAUUUACAAUAUAAUAAAGAGGUACAGAGUUCUAAAUCAAUAAAAGAUGGGCUAUAAAAUGGAGGAGUAAAGUUGAUAUAUGAACCAUCAUUGUCAACAUUUUAGAUUUGAUUUUAACUGUAAAAAGCACAAAUGAUAUGCAUCAUAAAACAGCCUUAAACUGAAUGUCCACUUGGUGUGUUGCACUUUACCAGGCACUUAAAAUAUCAGUCCUGUCACAUAGCAACAGAAACCCACAGUGGCACGUUUAAAAAUGGGUAAUCAACGUAUUGAUUUUGAUGGAGCUUUUUCAGAAAUAACUGCUAUUUUAAUUUAACUUAUAAAUAGAAUACAAUAUCAAGUUCAAAUUAAGGGAGGAAAUCAUGCUGUAAAUAUACUGGAUUGAAAAACAUGGUUCUGGCCAGGCAUGGUGGCUCAUGCUUGUAAUUCCAGCACUUUGGGAGGCUGAGGUGGUUGGAUCACUUAAGGUCAGGAGUUCGAGACCAGACUGGCCAACAUGGUGAAACCCCAUCUCUACUGAAAAUACAAAAAUUAGCCCGCAUGGUGGCAUGUGCCUGUAAUCCCAGCUACUAGCUACUCAGGAGGCUGAGGCAGGAGAAUCACUUGAACCUGGGAGGCGGAGGUUGCAGUGAGCCGAGAUGGCGCUACUGCACUCCAGCCUGGGUGACAGAGUAAGACUCCAUCUCAAAAAAAAAAAAAAAGAAAAAGAAAAAAAAGAAAAACAUGGUUCUAAUACUGUCACUUAACACCUUUUCAGUUUUGAAUAAAUCACCUAACUUUUUGGUCUUUAGUUUCUAUAAGAGGACAUUUUUAUUUUAAUGAUCUCUGGCAUUUUUAUGGCAAUAAAAAUGUGUGAAUUCAAAGGACAUACUGUCUGAGCAACAUAGUGAGACCUAGUUUCUACUAAAAAUAAAAUUAAAAAAAUGACCAGCUGUGGUGGCGUGCACUGGAAGGAUUGCUUGAGCCUGGGAGGUCAGGGAUGCAGUGAGCUGUGAUCACACCACCACACUCCAGCCUGGGUGACAGAGCGAGACCCUGUCUCAACAAAAAGGGGUGAUGUAAAUUUUAAAAUUCAUGUAAGGAAAACAUGACCAAAUAUACAAUAUCCACGUGAGGAAAAAAUAGUUUGCAGGAAUUUUUUUAAAAACCAGUGGUGGCUGGGCAUGGUGGCACACACCUGUAGUCCAUCUACUUGGGAGGCUGAGGUGGGAGAAUCGUUUGAGCCCAGGAGGUUGAGGCUGCAGUGAACCAUGAUCAUGCCACCUCACUCCAGGCUGGGCAACAGACUAAGACCCUGUCGCCAAUAAUAAUAAUAAGAAUAGUUAUUUCAUGUCACAACUAUGAAGUAUUUUAAUCAGGAUGAUACUAUCCAAUUAUUUUCCAUGUGGAAUUAAAUUUAUUUCAGCAACAAUUAAUUGGACAUCUAUUUGGGAGGUGCUUUGAGCUUGUAUAUAAAUGAAUACAGUGUCUCACAGACAGUAUAGUGGUUUCAAAUAUGUACAAAGACAAAGUUGCAUUCCUUGAAAGAAAAUAGAAAACAAAAAACAAAGGAAGAAUAUAAAUAUAAAAAGAAUAUAAAAUAAUAAAAACAAAGCCUGGGGAGGGAGAUGGAAUAAAAGAAGGAGAGAAUAGAAAGGAAACUGUGAUGAUUAAUUUUAGAUGUCAACUUGACUGGAUUAGGAAUACCUAGAGAACUGGUAAAACAUUAUUUUGGGGUAUGUCAGUGAGGGUGUUUACAGAGGAGAUUGGCAUGUGAGUCUGAGUGGACUACAAGGGGAGGAUCCGCCCUCAAAGUGGGCAGGCACUAUCCAAUCAGCUGGGAGCCUGGGUAGAACAAAAACAGUCUCUGUCUUCUGGAACUGGGAUACACUCUUCUCCUGGCCGUGGACAUCAAAAUACCAAGCUCUCUGGCCUUUGGAUUCUAGUGCUUAACACCAGCACCCCUGCCAUCAGGUCUUCAGACUUGGACUGAACCACACUCCCAGCAUACCAGCAUCUCCAGCUUGCAAAUAGCCUGUUGUGGGACUUGUUAGCCUCCAUAAUCACAUGAGCCAAUUCCCC
rnacentral:lncRNA from 10 species